rnacentral:rRNA from 1 species
CCUACGUGAGGCUGCAGUGAGGAAUAUUGGUCAAUGGACGAGAGUCUGAACCAGCCAAGUAGCGUGAAGGAUGACUGCCCUAUGGGUUGUAAACUUCUUUUAUAUGGGAAUAAAAUGUUCCACGUGUGGGAUUUUGUAUAUACCAUAUAGAUAAGGAUCGGCUAACUCCGUUCCCGCAACCGCUGUAAUACGGAGGAUCCGAGCGUUAUCCGGAUUUAUUGGGUUUAAAGGGUUCGUAGGCGGAUCAUUAAGUCAGCGGUAAAAUUUAGGGGCUCAACCCCUUCCCGCCAUUGAAACUGGCGUUCUUGAGUGGAAGAGAAGUAUGCGGAAUGCGUGGUGUAGCGGUGAAAUGCAUAGAUAUCACGCAGAACCCCGAUUGCGAAGGCAGCAUGCCGGCUUCCGACUGACGCUGAAGCACGAAAGCGUGGGGAUCGAACAGGAUUAGAUACCCUAGUAGUC